GGUGGUUCUCGGGGGAUGCACCUUGGAAUUGGGCUCCCUCCUCUCUGGUUUUGGGUGUGUCACCCAAGAACCACC
rfam:Myotis brandtii contig158771, whole genome shotgun sequence.